UACGUAGGGCGCAAGCGCUGUCCGGAAUUAUUGGGCGUAAAGAGCUCGUAGGCGGUUUGUCGCGUCUGCUGUGAAAACCUCAGGCUCAACCUGGGGCUUGCAGUGGGUACGGGCAGACUAGAGUGCGGUAGGGGUGACUGGAAUUCCUGGUGUAGCGGUGGAAUGCGCAGAUAUCAGGAGGAACACCGAUGGCGAAGGCAGGUCACUGGGCCGCAACUGACGCUGAGGAGCGAAAGCAUGGGGAGCGAACAGG
rnacentral:rRNA from 1 species